UGUUUGCAGAAUUGAUUAAUUCGCCAACUAGUUAAUUCAUUGUACUCACCCCCUCUGAUAUAACUAGUUAGAUUUUAACGCACCAAUUCAUUACGGAGCACAAAAAGAAGAAAAAGAAAAACCUACAAACUAAUCAUUGAUGUUUUAUUAUAUUUAAAAUAUUAUUAUUACUUUCUGACCUCACCGUCAGCACUUUUUUUGCUCAUGUUGUUGCUGUUGUUGUGGUCUAGUCGAGUCUUUACUUAUCGUAGUCAUGGCAUGUCACAAAAUCGUAUUUUUCGAAUGUGAGUGUGUUAAUCUAUUUAGCGCUUUGCGGUGCAAAUAUAGAAUGACGACAACAAAGUGCUUAUAUUUUUUUCCUUUUAUAAUAAUUACAUUAACGAGAAAAAAUAACAACGACAACAACAAGACUUAACCUCAAUUUAAACAUAAUGAGAAGUUUCUGGAGCUUUUCUUCACGCUUCAUGCUGCCAUAUAAGGGAAAUUAUGCUUUUUAACUAUUUGUCUAAAUUACUACGUAUGUACGCUUGCCUGCUGAUUCCAAACCACACAUAACAAAAAAAAAUUUUUUUCAAUAUUUCCUAUUUUAAUAUACUCUCUGAAAAACAUUUGAAUGUAUUUGGCAUGGAUGUAUACGUAAAUAAAUACAUGGAAAAAACACAUUUAUGGAUAGAGACACAAACACCGUAAAACCUACAACAAUUUGGUGAUAUUUAUGUGAGCAGAGAAUAAUCAUUAAUAGGCUAUAAAUUGUGUUUAAAGUGCGUAAAAUAUCAAAUGUCUCCGAGUGUAUAAAAAAUAGAAGUAUAAAAACAGAGUCAUUUCUAUAGAAUUCUUGUGCCUUGAAUAUAAGAAUUGAAUAUAAGAGGACGUACAGAGAGUAAUAUGAAAAUACAAGAAAACAUUAACAAGCCAAAGGCUACACAUAAUAAUUAUAAAAAUUGAACAAAAAAAUCAUAAAUACUUCCGUCUUGUCACAAAAAUUGUUAUUAAAAGUGAAACAAAAAAACCAAAACAGUUCGUGUGUUAGAGACCUGUUAAGAGAAACUUAAAACAAGAAAGAGAGAUCUCGAUAAUAUUCUACGGGCUUACACGUUCAACACGCCGGAGGUUUACUUUUCGAAGAUGUUUGAUCUAUUCUUAUAAUCGUUUUUUAAAUAUUGCCACGGGUUUCGUCAACAAAUAUUUCGAUGUCCAACUAGAAUAUACAUAUGUGUAUAUACAUAUGCAUAUUAUGCAAUGAAAUAAAAAAAAUUAUUGAAAUUUUUGUCAAUUAU